CCACCUCUUCCCAUUCCGAACAGAGAAGUUAAGCCUCGUCACGCCGAUGGUACUGCGUAACAGUGGGAGAGUAGGUAGCCGCCAUUUU
rnacentral:rRNA from 1 species